rnacentral:pre_miRNA from 1 species
UGAAUACUUCCUUCGUCUGGAAAAGCUUGUUCCAAGUUUGUCUCUUAAAUGGAUGUAUUUAGCACUAACUUGGUGCUAGGUACAUCCAUUUGAAGAACAAGGUUUUUCGGACAGAGGGAAUAUGUC